GGGGAGAGUAAAGCCUCAUUUUUUUUUCAGUCACUCUAUCUGGGGUUGCUUAUCUCCUCUCCCCCAACCCUCUGCCUCACCCCACCAGGACCAAAUAGAAUUGAAACUUCAUUGCCUUUGCCUGUACUGAGCCUAAAAACUCAGGGUUUGAUAAGGUUACUGCACCAAUGAUACAAUUGUAGAUUUUUAAAAGCCUCCUCAAAGAGACAGAUGUUUGGGCUGAUUAAGAAUUGAGGAGGAAACCUGCAGCUGCACCAAGGAAUAAUCUAUUGGACAAAUAUUGUAAUAAAAAAAUAUGAAGAGAUCAGCCCGACCUUGCAAGGGGAUUGCAGUGGCAAAGCUAGGCUAGGUCUUGGAGGCUGGUGUAAGGCGAUGUGGGUGAAGGCAGGAGGCUGAUGGAAAGACUGGGGGGAAGAAAAGCCGAAAUGGAUUCACGGUGCCUUGGAUGAAGGACGAGAGGGGAACUGCAAGCUCCUUCAACUGGUUCUGUCCGGUGAGAAGUGAUCAAGCUUGGGCUGACAAGAGGCUCAGGGAGCCCUCACGUUCUUUCGCUUUUUUACCUGCCAAUCAAACUGCUACAAGACAACACCCUGAUCUGGCAUGGACAUCGCGGGUCCAAGCCUGUAGCCCCAAAUCGGAUAAUCUCUGCAGCUGAUAACAAGCAAAAGAGAAGCCAGGCAACAGCCAUAUUAAAGAAGAAAACAAUCAACUCUGAGAUCCAACUUAGAAAUAAUGUUUCAUUCAAGAUAAGGCUCGUGGCUUAGGAGAUUGUGACCUGGCUUGCAUCAUUCUAAGACUUCUAUCGUCUGUUUUCAAAACCCAAGGAGGACCUCCUUUUCUGUGUGAUAGUUCCUCAUGCUUUGCCAGCCACUGGGUCUUUAAGGAAGCUUGCCAAGAGUUCCCGGCUGGGAAGGACAGUUCGAGUUCAUCAUAGACAAUGAGCUGGCACCACAGUUUAAGUGACUCACCAACCUGGUUGCCCACUUCAAAAUGUCAAGAACCACACUAUCUAAUUGAAAGAACUGUGUUUUAGCAAAGUGUAAUUGGAUCGCCUGGCAAGAUCAUCUCAAACUAUGUCUCUGACCUUGCCUUUCAGUGGCUAUUUUGAGCACAAGAGGAGAAAGGAAAUGAUUCCUGAAUUAUAUCUUGUUUUUAAAAAUUAAGAUUAAUUAAUACUUGGUUUUAUGUUCAUUCCAUUGUAGGAACUUAGUGAUUAUUACAAAACAGUCAAAAUAGGUCAUAGCAAAAUGAACGUUUAAGAUUAGGUUAAAACAUUCCUCUGAAAUUUUAGUAUUCACUUUUGAAGUGUCAAUUACUAUAUUUCUGUAAUUUCUCAUUUUUUUCUUGGCUUAGAGUCAAGAUGAAAAAUGAUAUUUGAAUCAAAGACAUUGUUUUGUUAUAUAGCCACUCCUUUCUAAAAUGCAAAUCCACCCUCCCCUCACCAAUGCUUUAUUCUUUGUGCGCGCACACACACACACACACACACACACACACACACACACACACAGACAUACACAGAACCAGCACCCAAAUGGUAGAGGAGGUCCUUCCAAGACUUCUAGGACCUGGAUCAUGUAAGCAGUAGAUGAGAAAAUGAAGUAAGAGAUAUAGAGUAAUAACAAUAAAAGUCAAUGAUUUCAUUUUACAAAAAAGUCAUUGUGUAGUACUCAGAUAUUUUUAAGAGCAAGUAUUAUUAUGACUAAAGUAUAUUAUACUUCUAAAUUAUUAUGAUUCUCAUCUAAUUUCAAGCCACACAUAGGCGCCAUUUGAAAGCAUUUUGUGUUACAACCUAUCAACAAAAAUCAACUAAUAGUUUUAUAACGUGCAUAGGUUUACCCCAUGGGGAAUUAAAAUUUUUAUCUGCAAGUAUUUCUGUUGUUGUGAGACUUUAGGACAAGACAACAUUUGGUGUUAACAUAGAAGAAUAUUCUAUGGCUUUUUUAGCUUUAAAGUUCAUUACUCUAAAAUAAAGUACACGUGGUAUUUUUUUCUUCCUAGUGUUCUCUUAUUAUAUGUAGAGUAUUUUCGGUUGUUGUUUUUAACGUAUACAUUAUUUUUAUUAAGUCAUUUCAUAAAAGAUAAGAUAUAUACUAAUAGACCCUUGGUUUUCUCCUAAUUUAAUUAUUUCAAGUCAAGCAAAAUUGGGCAAUUUUCUUUCAGGAAAAAAAAAAUAUUGAGCAUGAUUUUGAGGUAAAACUGAUUAUUUACAGCAUCUUUUCUCUAAUAGGCUAACAUUUAUGAUGGAUCUUAUUUCAAAGUUGAUUAUUCUCAAAGAAAAGUGGAGAUAUUAGAAUUUCCGAGUAAAUUGCAUUGUUUUAAAAAGUACUUUAAUGCAUUGUUCACAUUGUUGCCAGCUAUUGACCAAAAAAGAGAAGAAGAAAAAAGAAAUAAAAAAAGCAGUAUCUGCUCCAAACGUCAAGUUUUGCAGUUUGAAAGACUUGUACAUUAUAAUUGUUUUUUUCUUUUUUGGAAAGCAGUAGUAAUUAAUACCAAAGGCAUAGACAAUUUAGGGCCAUAACCUCCCUUCCCCCCUCUCCACCUUUUUUUUUUUUUUUUUUUUUUUUUAACUUUAACCAUGAUAGGCAUCUCUGCAAGGUAGGUUUUAACAUAUUUUUUUCCUAAUUUUUUUCCCUCCAUUCAGUAAGAAGGAUAAGCUUUUAGAGUACCCAGUCACCGUGGUAACUGCCAAAAAAAUUCUCCUGAAGUUUGAAGAGGUCAGCUAGCAGGGUCAACAACCCUGGCCUCUCUCUGAGCUCGGUCUAGCAUGCCCCAGCCUGCGGUUGGAGUGUCAGGCCAGAUCUGACCCUGGGAGGUGGACCAUUCUGGCUCUGAUAUAAAUUUUUCGAGUCAGUUCAUGGCCUGGACUCUCCAGGUGGCCUCCAAAAUCGAUUUUGACCCCCUGACCCUGUCUCACGGAGGCAUAGCAUCCACCCUAAGUAAGGAUUUAGCCAGGAAUGACAGCUUUCCACUGAGUGUUAUUGGGGACAGUAUAAACAGUUUGGAAAGCAAGUAAGGAGGUGUGAGGGCUAGCAAUCAUUAAAAGCACAUUAAAAAACAAUUUUUAAAAAUCUUUAUUAGAGAAAGUUGUAAAUGCAUAUCUGUUACAGAAUUCCUGUGAUUUGUAGAGUUUUCUAGUCAGUUUUGAAUAUAAAUAGGUCACAUAUCUUUAUCUUUUUGCAUACUUUGUUACAAAUAUGCAAAUAAGAUAGGCAUACUUGCUACAAAAUAGGUACAGCAGGAAUGUAAUAUGUUCAGAAAAGGCAAACUGGUUAUUAAAACACAUUAACAGGUAAGGAGUUUCUAAUAUUUUAAAUACUAAAAUUUUACAUGUGUAUUUUGAAGUUUUUAAAAUGGAAAAAUAAAGAACCUUUAAAAAACCCAACAGUGUGGAAUAAAGAUAAACUUGUUGCACUCAAGGUACAUUUCUACUUUGUAAAGCAAGAAGCCAAUACACUCAGUUGGAUAAAAAUGAGAGAAAAAUUGUAAAUAUAGAGAGUUACAGCUUAUAGAGCUGAAGAGGAAUAAAACAAAAAAAAGUGUCUCUGAAUAACUUUAUGUAUUUUCAACAGUUUAAGAUAUCAGAAACUUGGAAAAUAAAUAUGAUAUAUAUAUAAAUCAUCAGUGAUUAUUUCCUUUUCAUUCCCCCCCGCCCCCAGGAUGCCACCGUGAGUGUUUGAUUUUCUCUAGGAAAGUAGAAUUCUCUUUGAGAGUUCUAGCCUGUGAACUCAGUAUGUAAAUGUGGCCAUCAAGAAGACAGAACUGCCAAGAGGAAAGAUUAUGAAUGUUUUUCUUCCUUAAAACCAUUCACAGUGUUUCUUCUUCCAGUGCUUUACUCAGACUUCUCCCCUUUUCCCAGCUCUGUUGAAAAUGGCUUCAAAAGCAACACUGCAGUGGCUAAACCAAUUGUACUGUGAAGUUGUUGAGAUGCCAUUUCAUCUGAAUCCUUCGUAAAAAUUAGAUUUUUAAGUAGGGGUGAAUAUCCUUUUGGGAGAGGGAAUGGGAGGGUAGAAGAAGGGGGGAAAGGACAGAGCA
ensembl:lncRNA SOX2-OT SOX2 overlapping transcript